rnacentral:rRNA from 1 species
UGGGGAAUUUUGCGCAAUGGGGGAAACCCUGACGCAGCAACGCCGCGUGAGUGAUGAAGGCUUUCGGGUCGUAAAGCUCUGUCUAGAGGGAAGAAAUGAUAAUCGGUUAAUACCCGGUUUUCUUGACGGUACCUCUGAAGGAAGCACCGGCUAACUCCGUGCCAGCAGCCGCGGUAAUACGGAGGGUGCAAGCGUUGUUCGGAUUUAUUGGGCGUAAAGCGCGUGUAGGCGGUUUGUUAAGUCUGAUGUGAAAGCCCCGGGCUCAACCUGGGAAGUGCAUUGGAAACUGGCAGACUUGAAUACGGGAGAGGGUAGUGGAAUUCCUAGUGUAGGAGUGAAAUCCGUAGAUAUUAGGAGGAACACCGGUGGCGAAGGCGGCUGCCUGGACCGAUAUUGACGCUGAGACGCGAAAGCGUGGGGAGCAAACAG